CAAUUCAAGAUAAGGGCUGAUGUGGAUGCCGGAAAGUAUUCAUGUGAGUGCAAGCAUUGGGAGCAUACAGGUCUAUUUUGUGUUCAUCUUGUACGCGCUUUCAUGCAUCUACAAAUUGAAAGGAUCCCGAGUGAGUAUAUUUUGCAACGAUACACAUACUCCGCGCAUCAAGAUGUGGCUUUUUCAAGAGACGAUAGGAAUUUGAAAGGAAAAGAUGGAGAAACUAGAUCAUAUAGACAGAAGAUGUUGCUUAAAAAAGCAAUGAAAGUAGUACACCAUGCGAGUCUGUCUAAAGCUGGGAAUGAUAAAGCCCUAGAGAUGAUGGACGAAUUAUUAGGGUUAUUGAUGCGUGUGGAGCCUGAUAUAGGUACUGGUGAGAGUUGUGGCACAAGUGUUUGCGAUGACAUCCAGGUCGAAGCGUAUGAAACAGA